UGCCGUCCUCCCCGGCUGGCCGAGCUUUGAUGAAUGCUGUCACCCAAGACUGGAGGCAGGAGUGGGAUUUCAUUGGCUGUGGAAAGCAAAGGAGUCAAAUUGGCCGGCUAGUCAGAAGCCUCACAGCUUCCUUAUUUAGAGGAGAAGGUGUAAAAACAGUUGAGGACCUCAUCAGUGAGCAAUGAAAAGUUUGCAGCCACUUCCUCGGUGGCACUAUCACCAAGCGUCUCAGUAUUUGGGGAUAAUUGGCUCCAAGUGGCCAUUGCUCUUUUUGUACACACCCAGCAAAUCCAAGGCAUCUCUUCCUAAGCGAUCCACAUGCUAAAGCUUGGUCUGUACCUCUCAAAGGAGAACUCCUGGCUGGUUAACAGACAGGAGUUGGAAUGACAGUCAGAAGACAGAGUGGUGACUCCACGGAGAACCUGUGGCUUCCCAACUGCUGCUCUGCCCACCAGCCCACGCUGCUUCUCUCAUCACCUCCUCAGCUGUUCCCACUCUGCAGGGACAGGCAGUCCAAGGGUAAAAGGCUGAGCUGGAAAAAAACAGAAGUGACAGCCACCAGCCCCCACAGGGAUCUGCUUGGAGCUGAGACACAUGGAUGCCUUCUACUCUGGAGACAAAUCUCUUCCCUGGCACCCAGCAGCCUCCCUGGGAAUAGAGCAGCAAAUAGACUGCAGGAAAAGGUGUGUUAGCUGGUUUUGGAUCCAGCAGCAUCUGCAGGGAUGUCUGCUUGGAAACCUCUUGCACCUCUGUUCCAAUGGCACAGACAUGUUUUUCAAAGUCUGAAAAGGAAGCUCAAGUCCAUAAUCAGCAUACUCUUCCUGCACUCUUGCAUCAGUUCAUAUUUCUCAACAGGAAGACUCCAGAGAGCUGAGGAGCACUAUCAACGCAAGAGCGGUGUGGACCAUUUUACAUGUAGCAACAUCAGCUUGCAAGACUUGCCUGUAAUUUAUGGACUGCCUGGAAGAAAGAACCACUUCCAUCGGCAGGGAGAAUUGCCUAAAAUGGCUAAAAACACAUCCAAGAUAACAACUGGUGGUCAGGCAGCGGUUUCCAAACAACUACUCAACAGAAGGACUCACAUCCUCUUGUGUAGCUGGUCAAGCUUGAGGCCAAGCUCCUGUCAAUGACCCACUGCAAAUUCCAUCUUUUGUUGGUGAGCAAGGAGAGAUUCAGUCCUCAAAAAAGGAGGCUUGGCUGGCUUGUGCUGGUAGGAUUUCCGCUGUGGAAAUAGGCACGGAGAAGACUGAUAACAUGGACGAGGAGGGGCGGAAGGAAGCAGGCCCCUGUUUGUGGAGUGCUGCUAUUUCUGCUGGGAUUUAAAACUGUCCUUUGGAGCAAAGUUGAAACAGUCACUAUAAAUGACUUGCAUGAGUGAGUACAGAACAUUUUGGAGGAUUAUAAUUUAUGCCAGGCAGGAGCUGUUAUGGCUCAGUUUAAGGAACUCAAAAUAAGAUUUCUGGGAGAUAACCAAGCUAGUUUCACCUUUGGUAACUUCCCAGUCCAAGACAUUCCUAACUUAAUGGGUACUGGGUCUGUUCCUGCCUGGGGGCUGAGGGCCUUGAACUCCUAUUGAAACUCAAAGAUGCUCUGAUGACAUUUGGCACUGUUAAGAGUUGGAAAGAGCUGGCAGUGCCAUGUAGCACAUCUCUAUGCCCCUUUAUCCAAACCUGAAUUAAUUCAGAGUAAGGAUUCCUUCUCCCAAGGUUUUGUCUUCCAUGGAAAAUCUCUCUUGAAGGAAAGGAGAGAUAUUCUCCAUGGGAUACUCCUUUCUGCAGAUUUAAAAUAAAUCAGCAUAUUAAGCCAACUGGAGAUGAACCAUGUCUGCCUGGACACAGACAGUCAUGCACGUGCUUCCCAAAGAUGGAAUAGAAGGUGGGAAAAAUUAAUCCAUUUCUGCUGAGCAACAGGAAGGCAGACAUGGAGCCCUGUCUUUCCACCUCCCAGGCAGAUUGAGAGCACUUCAUAACACAAAAGCAUAGCUGUAUCCUGUAACCUUGAUCCACACAGUGGAUCUCUCUCCAUUCUCAGAGAAAUGUUUGUACAUUAUGAGACUGAUUUCUAAGUUUUUAGAAAGGCUGCUUCUCUAAAUCUUACAUAGGUUUUUUUGCUAGUUUUAUCCCUGUUAGUUAAGUCGAAACCCUUCUUGGAACAUGAGGUACAAACCCACCUCCUCCUUACUCUUUGCACCCUUUGAAUAUUUACAGAUGGUUUUCAUAUUCCCUUUCAGUUGUCAUUCAGCCAGUGUCGCUCUGUGUGUAUCUCUUCAAAUGCAGCACCCUUGGAAGGACACACAAGGGGGACACAAAUUUUGCCCUCAAUUACACCUGUGUAAUUUUGGAGUAAGACAGUGAACUUUGGUAGACUUUGAAUUUACAUGAGCAAAACACAGAGCAGGAAGUGAAUGCCAAAUAAAAGCUAGGAAGACAAUCAAAACUAACAUCACAUUCUGCACGCCCCAGACUGCACAAGGUUAGUAGUGCCUUUUCUAUCAUUUUUUCCUUGCAUUCAUACUGAGUGAAUAUUUAGAAGUUUGGAAGUGUAACAGUCACCUGGAACAUGCCAGUACAGACCAUGGCUCUUGUGAGAAGUGAAGAUAUCAUCAUUAUGUGCUGGUCCAUGCAGAUUUCUUUCACAAUUCAACACUGAGUUUUUCUAUGUUACAUAGAUUAUUUGAUACUAGAUACUUCAAAUUUAUAGGACCAUGAUACAAACAUGACACAGUAACCUUGUUUUGCUCUGUGACUUCUUUUUCCGAUGGGUAUCGAUAAUUAUUCCCACUAGAGAAAAUCUCUCCACCUUUUCUCAGCCUUGCAUAGGACUGGUUGAAAGUGCUGUUCCAUGUCAGUUCUGAAAGCAGAGGAACUGGUGAAUGAGAUGGGAGCCAUGCAUCACAUAUCCAUAGUACAUUUUCCAGUUAAAAAAAUACAUGACAUGGAAAUGAAGUGCCCAAAGGAAGUUUUGCUUGCUCAAGCUGUCUCAUCUUCCCCAAGCUGCACUUGCCACUCCACUCUUUAUACAGUGUUCCACCACCUCUGCAGUCUUUUUGGUGGCCUGUCCAUUCUGCCAUAUUCCACUAAACAUAUAGGCUGCAUAUAUGGGCUGCAAAAUUACAUCAGCUAUUUUCCAGCCAUAUCCUUUGGCCUGGUCUAAAUUGUGUUCCUGUUCCAGCUGGCUUCCUUGAUGGAGAGGGACUCUUUAUAAGACUUUUUACAAGACUUUUUACACAGGCGUGUAGGGACAGGACAAGAGGGAAUGACUUCAAACUGAUAGAGAGUAGGUAUAGAUUGGAUAUAAGUAGGUUUAGGUUGGAUAUUAGGAAGAAAUUCUCUACUGGAGGCACUGGAACAGGUUGCCCCAGAGAAGUUGUGAUAUCUCGUCCCAGGAAAUGUUGAAGGCCAGGCUGGAGGGGGCUUGGAGCAAUCUGGUCUAGUGGAAGGUGUCCCUGCCCAUGGCAGAGGGUUGGAACUGGAUGAUCUUUAAGGUCCCUUCCAACCCAGGCCCUUCUGUGAUUCCAUGAUUCUCUAUAAUGAUAGUUGAUAGGUCCUCCUAAGCAAUGGACUUUGGACAUGGCACUCGGUAUGGAACCUUAUAGAACAAGACAGAGCUUGCAAGACUGACUUCACAUUUAAUCUGACUCAUUUCAACAUCUUUUCUCUUUAUUAUAAACAAUAACCCUGUUUUUCUCCCUUUCCAGUUUAUUCUGAAGUGGGAAUUGGAAAUAAGGAACUAUGAACCACCUGUCUUUACCCAGAAUCUGGCCUAACCUCUGAGAAACAACCUUCAAAAGAGCUUUACACAUUUCUUAUGGGUUUCUCUAUAGCUUAAAAUCAUCAGGGCAGCCUGUACCACGUGCAGAGAAAGAAGUUAGCCCAUUCCAAAUGGGAAUUAAGAUGCAAUUUAUAUGCCCACUUCAGAUGCUGUGAGCCUGCCACCCAUGCUGAGCCUGUAGUCACCUAUGGAAGUACUUGGAACAUGAAAAUGCUUCCAAGAACUGAAAUGCUUUGCUUCUAAAUAUUCAAAAAUGCAUUUUCAAGAGUAACAAGCACAUAAGACAACUGGCUGUGUCUGAGCUCACUCAGAUUUGGUAACCUCAGGCUGCCUUCACCAUACAUGCUCUCCCCAGGGCUCAGCCCAGGAGCAAGUUGUUUGUCCUUGUGCAUAAGAAUAUAUUCUUCUAAUUCUGUGGUCCCACGGGACCACAAUCCUGUGGUUGCUACUGACUUCUACCACAUCCACUAUCUAGUAUGAAGUAAUAAAUGUAUUUUUAUGCAGUA